rnacentral:rRNA from 1 species
GACGAACCGUGCGAACGUUAUUCGGAAUCACUGGGCUUAAAGCGCGUGUAGGCGGACGGGGACGUCGGUCGCUGAAAUCCCCCGGCUCAACCGGGGAACGGGCGCCGAAACGCCCCGUCUCGAGGGACGUAGGGGGACCUGGAACUUCCGGUGGAGCGGUGAAAUGCGUUGAGAUCGGAAGGAACGCCCGUGGCGAAAGCGAGGUCCUGGACGUCGUACUGACG